AGUGAACGCUGGCGGUAGGCCUAACACAUGCAAGUCGAACGGCAGCACAGUAAGAGCUUGCUCUUACGGGUGGCGAGUGGCGGACGGGUGAGGAAUACAUCGGAAUCUACUUUUUCGUGGGGGAUAACGUAGGGAAACUGACGCUAAUACCGCAUACGACCUACGGGUGAAAGCAGGGGAUCUUCGGACCUUGCGCGAUUGAAUGAGCCGAUGUCGGAUUAGCUAGUUGGCGGGGUAAAGGCCCACCAAGGCGACGAGCCGUAGCUGGUCUGAGAGGAUGAUCAGCCACACUGGAACUGAGACACGGUCCAGACUCCUACGGGAGGCAGCAGUAGGGAAUAUUGGACAAUGGGCGCAAGCCUGAUCCAGCCAUACCGCGUGGGUGAAGAAGGCCUUCGGAUUGUAAAGCCCUUUUGUUGGGAAAGAAAAGCAGCAGGUUAAUACCCCGCUGUUCUGACGGUACCCAAAGAAUAAGCACCGGCUAACUUCGUG
rnacentral:rRNA from 1 species